rnacentral:rRNA from 1 species
UACGAAGGGUGCAAACGUUGCUCGGAAUCAUUGGGCGUAAAGCGCACGUAGGCGGCUUUGCAAGUCGGAUGUGAAAUCCCUCGGCUCAACCAAGGAAGUGCAUCCGAAACUGCAGAGCUUGAGUACUUAAGAGGAUCGCGGAAUUCCCGGUGUAGAGGUGAAAUUCGUAGAUAUCGGGAGGAACACCAGUGGCGAAGGCGGCGAUCUGGGAAGAUACUGACGCUGAGGUGCGAAAGCGAUGGGGAGCAAACAGGGAUUAAGAUGACCCCAG